UACGAAGGGGGCUAGCGUUGUUCGGAAUUACUGGGCGUAAAGCGCACGUAGGCGGAUUUGUAAGUCAGGGGUGAAAUCCCGGGGCUCAACCUCGGAACUGCCUUUGAUACUGCAAAUCUCGAGUCCGGAAGAGGUGAGUGGAAUUCCUAGUGUAGAGGUGAAAUUCGUAGAUAUUAGGAAGAACACCAGUGGCGAAGGCGGCUCACUGGUCCGGUACUGACGCUGAGGUGCGAAAGCUAGGGUAGCAAACGGG
rnacentral:rRNA from 1 species